AUUUUUACUUGUUUAUCUAAAGUAAAACAUUCACUGCUCUGCUGAAAGAAAAAUGAGAGAAAUGAUGAGUUGAAAGCAUCGAGCAGUCCUGCCAGCUCUCAGCAGCGUCUAGGGUCUUCAUGUAGCAGUGAAAUACUGAGUGCUAGAAGAGGAUAAUCAGUUUUAUGCAUUUUUAAAUUAAUACGAAAUGCUACUCUCCCACUUUUGCUGCACAGCCUGGGUUUUAGAAUGUCAAGAAACUAUUUGACAUUUACAAGAGACUGCAGGCACUAAUACAAAUCAUUUCUACCCAUUUAUCCAUUUUAACCACCAUGCUGAGUGAAUUGUUGGCUCUGUGCAAUUAGUCUCUGUGCUCUGACAAUAUAGCCACAGAUUAUCAGGAAUUCUAUUAAUAACGCAAGGUGGAAGCUCUGUUCUCCAAGCCUGUUAUUUUACUUCUAGAAAAAAAAAAAUCUCAUUUCUUAUAAAUCCGAUAUAAAUAGGCCAGCUGACAAGUAUCCCAAAAGAACAGAAUAUGCUCGGAAUAGUGAGAUUUGAACUGACGUAUGUUUGGCCAAAAAAAAAGUUAUCCAGGCUGUAUUUGUCUGAAAGUUUAAAAAUAGGAGCUUUUGUCAUCUGUGGCAGGAGAGGCCAGGUUGAGUCAUGAUUGAUGUCACUCGAAAGAACACUUUAAGCUUAGAAAAUGACAUCAGAAUCAUCAGAAUUUAGGGAGAUUUAGAGCGUUCCCUCAAGCCAGGGUGCUGGGGAUUCUGGAAGAGACUUUGUGGAUGAUACACAGCGUGCUGCCAGACAUCAUCUGAAUGGCAGCCAGGAGCCACGGUGCUUUCAGAUUACAUUUAUAAACGAUCGGAGUGCUGAGCACUUGCAAGUGCAGGCUGGAGGAGCAGGAGCUGUGCGUGGCUGCACGCGCUGCCCUGCCACGGGUGCCACGGAUCCAGGCACCAUGCAUCACAACCAGGCACUCAAGGAAACCCGAGGCAGAGAUUGCAAAGAUAAACCUUCACCAGCUUGAUUUAUAUGGCUGGAGAACAGCUUGUAGGGGCCUGUCCUUCCUAAACUUGUCCUUCCUUGCACCUAAAACAAGAACGGAGAAUUUGAAGCUGACAGACACGGUGUUUGUGAACGACGCUGAGUUGAAGAUGCUUCUGCGGGUCUGAGGAUUAGUAAUGCUGUCUGUCCAUGACCCCUCGUGCUUUUUUAACCUUUUAAAUGGAGAUACCAUAUCACAGCCCAGUCACUAAAGGUCAUCAAUAAAGCAAUAUUGUGA